rnacentral:lncRNA from 1 species
UCCUCCUCCUCCUCCUCCUCCUCCUUCUUAUUAUUAUUAUUAUUAUUAUUAUGUUUUUUUAUGGGUCUAAUACAUUGGUCAAAUAAAAUAGUUGAACUGAAUUCAAAUGAAUUGCACAAUCAUUCUAAUGAUCAUCUACCUUGAUUUUAUUUUAAAACCCAAAUUCUAAUGUUUGCCACUUCUCGGACAGGUUUGUUAUUUGAUUACAACCCGUUAAGAGAAAAGAUAUGCAAUAGCUAGUCUUGACGGCUGCUGAUUUCUUGUUGAAGGAUUCUUUUGUGCUCGUUUCUUUGACACUUCCUGUCUUUCAUACUUCUUAUUACAUACAACGGCUAUGCUUUUCCCUGUUGCAGUACCUUCACAACUACCAACUUUUAUUUUGAUGGCAGUUAAGAAGGUAUCAGUGAUUAUUAUUUCCCAUUUCUUUUGAAUAUGUAUUGGUAAUUCCUCUCUUUUCCCCCAACAUAGGCAUGAUUAACUAUUUCAUAAAAAUCAUUCUUUUCUACUACCCUCGUGUAUAUUUUGUUGUAAUACUGGUAUGUAUUAUGAUUUGGGAUACUUCUUAGCGAUGAAAAUAUUUGUUUAUAUAAAUUCAAAAUGUUGGCAAAGUUAUUUCUAUCAUUUGUUUUUUCGUACUUGACCCUAAGUGCAUGAUAUCGUUAAAUGAAGUUUGUGAUUCUAAGUGUCAUUCACUUGUGUUCUUCACUUACUCUAGACGAUCGUUAAAUUAGCAUGAUCAUGUCUUGUAAUCUUUGUAUAAACUUCAUUUUUGCAAGAUUUCGUGUUCACACAUAGUAGAGCAAAUUCACAAGGUUUUAGACACCACUCCCAAACUUAGGACGAACAUUGUCCUUUAUGUUUAACCAGUACAAAGAUAUGUGCAAAUUGACACUCUUUCAGUUUGCCAAUUGGAUCCAGAUUUUUGCACUGUUGCAUCACCAAACAUGUCAUAAGUUGUUGAAAAAUGUUUGGUGCCAACGAGUAGUAAGAUGUUGCGAAACUACAUGGAAAUGAUGAGGAAUCAAUUUUCCACAAUGUCCAUUAAGUUGAUCAUUUGGAGUUUGGUUUUCUUUUCUACUUUGACUUUGUUACGAGU